UAAAUGAAAGAAAAAUAAUAAAUUUUUAUAAAAAAAACACUCAAACAAUCAGCACCUAUUUACAAGAAAAAUUCGCUCAAAAGAAAACUAUGAUUCCAAUUUAACAAACUUAAGACACUUUCGAAAGCUAAUCAUAAGUAGGACUAAAUAAUCAAGCUCAUAUAGCAGAAUAAAGAAACUCAAUUCAUUUUCCACAUGUUACACAAAUCAAAGACAUAUACUCAUAUGCUUAGGAAUAGAAUUAAAAAUAUAGUGGGAAAACCCAACCUUAAUGGUUGAGAAGAAAACCGGAUCAAAACAAAAGAAGACCGACGAACCGGAGCUGUAAACGAAAACCUCGAACGACUUCGAACUUUAACUCUUACCUCGCCGAAUAAACGGCCUAUGAGUGUGUUUUGUGAGCUAAGUUUUUGUAGGUUGUUUAGAGUAGAGAAGGGUGGUUUUCCAAGCUGAAUUUAUGGGGAUGUCCAGCGAGUUUUGGGACUAUUUGCUAGAUGAUGGAACUUAGCUCAUGGGUUUUGGGUAAUUUUUGGCUGUAGAUUUCAAUUGCUGCGUUUUUCAGAAGAUGUUUCUGAUGAAGUGGUGUUGGAAGCAAUAGUGAAUUCUUCUUCUUGUUGUUGCAUUAUCAUCUGCCCUGUUUUCCAAUCGAAGGUCCUUGAGCUUAUCCAGGAUCCACCCGUUUUUCCCUCUUUAAAUUCCCUCACUCCCGAUCUGCUUUUUCUCUCGUUUAUUUUUUGAUCUGUUGCGGCUCCUCCUGAAUCAGAAAAUGAGAGCCUUUUAAUGAUGUAGGUUAUUUUAGGGGGAAAAUCUUAUGAGUUUUUGGCUAUUGGGCUCAGGUUUGGCCCAAUUUGGGCCAUGACUUGGGCAUUUGAACAAAGCAAGACUUUAAGAGAACUAGUCCAAAUUAAAUCUUCUUUUUUUUUGUGAUUUUGAUUUUCUUUUAUUGAUUAAUAGAUGAAAAAUAAAAAUACUACUCCUAAACUUGAAUAGCAAGAUAAAAUACUAAUCACUCAAAAUUUACUUAUCAAACUAAUAUAUUUUUUGGAAAACAUUUUCUUUCUUUGUAAAUGAAGAUAAAGCUUAUAUUUAAAAUGUGACUUUUUUUUUUAUUGUUUUCAAUUUUCUUAAGUAAAAUAUAUAAAAGAAGAAAUAAGAGCUAAAAUAUGUAGAUUAAACUUAAAAUAUAUUUACAUACUAAAAAGUGAUGAAAAACUCCAAUAUAGUCAAAAAUUAGGUGCUUACAACGGAUAAGGCAUAAAUAUAACAAGUAACAAUAAUUAACAAUUAAAGCAUUUAACAAUUAGUAACAUGGAUUAAAUGAAGGAGUGAAAUAAUUAAAAAUAAUAAAUAAAUAUUCCAACCCGCAUGUUUAACUCAUAACUACGCAUAUACACUCGUCACCUUGUAUAUACGUCGUCCCCGUACAUAAAUCAAAUAGCAAAUUAUCCAAUCAAGUUCUAAUUCCCUCAAGUCAAGAUUAACCACAACACUUACCUCACAUAACAACUAAAUCAAUGCUUAACCACGGCCUUUCCUUUAGAAUUAGUCUCCAAACCAAUCUAAUUUAGCCAAAUAUAGUUCAAAUAAUUUAAAAUAAGCUUUAGAAACUACUCACGAGUGAAACAAAUUCGAUCCUUAAUGAAAUUGAAAAAAGUCAAUCCCGGGCCCAUUUGGUCAAAACUCGAGAUUCGGACCAAAACUCGAUUAUUCAUUCACCCCGAGCCCGGUUAUGUGAUUUGUUUCUAAAUUCAACCUCAAUUUGAGGUCUAAAUUUUAAUUUUACAAAAUUACCAAAUUCUACCCAAAUUCCUAAUUUCUAACAUGGAAAUCCUAGAUUUGAUGUUAAAAACUCAUGAAAAGUAAUGGGGAAUAUUAAGAAAGUGGAUUAGAGUUGCUUGCCAUUGAAUUUAGGAAGAAAACGUUCUUCAAAAAUCGCUUAUAGAGUGUUUAGGGUCUAGAAAUGGUGUAAAAUGAGCUAAGUCCCAUUUUUUCCUCUUUUACCCAGUUGUAGGUGUCGCAAUUGCGAACUCUUAUUCGAAAUUACAACCUUCGCAAAUGCGAAACAUAGAUCGCAAAUGCGAACUGUGCCCCCAACUAGCAUAAGUCGCAAAUGCGACAAAAAUAUCGCAGUUGCGAUGCGCCAUUCCACAACAAAUGCGAUCAAAGGUUCGCAUUUGCGAACCUACCUAAGUCCAAUGUCUAGUCGCAAAUGCGACCAAGCCAUUGCAAAAGCGAAGCCUGGGAUGUCCGCAAAUGCGAAGUAUACUCUUCCCAGUCCUUCAUCGCAAAUGUGAAGUAUACCCUUCCCAGUCCCUCAUCGCAAAUGUGAAGUAUACCAUUCCCAGUCCCUCAUCGCAAAUGCGAAGUAUACCCUUCCCAGUCCCUCAUUGCAAAUGCGAGCUUAACUUCGCCAAAGUGGAGUUCGCAUUUGCGAACAGGUCAUUGCAAAUGCGAGACCUGCAGUUCAGCACCAGAACUAAAGCACACCAGCAAUUGCCAAAUUACUCAAACCCAUCCGAAACUCACCCGAGCAAACCAAACAUGUACACAAGUGUAAUAACAUCAUAUAAACUUGCUCGUUAUCUCAAAUAAUCAAAACAACAUCAAAUAACAAGAAUUGAUCAUCAAAACUCAAGAUUUCAACUUGAAAGUUCAUUUUCACUAUUUUCACAUAACACGAUGAAAUGUGCUCGGGUCACCUGGGACCCCAACCAAAAAUACGUACAAGUCCUAAAAUAUCAUACGAACCUACCAGAAUCAUCAAAACACUGAUACGAGGUCGUUUAUCAAGAAUGUUAAUCGUGGUCAACUCAAAUGCCAUUUUAAGUCAAAAAAUACUUUUUCUUCAAAUUUUUACGUAAUAACUUUUCGAAAAAUAACACAGACCAUGCACGCAAAUCAAAAAAUAUUAAAUGAAAGUAAUAGAGGUCUCGGGACAUGAAAAUAAAGGCUAACACUCAGAACGACCUAUUGGGUCGUCACACCUAGUGUCUAUCGUUAGGUUGGGUUUAGUCUUACUGGCUUCUGGCGAGAGGUAGCAACUAACAAGUUGGAAUUUUCGGCUGGAAAUUGAUAAGUAUGGGCUGGGUAGUAAAGGAAGAUUUACUUAAUUUGAUAUUUCGAUAUUUCGGUAUAAUGAAGUAUUGAAAGUUCAAUACCGAUAAUCGUACCAAAAUACCGAAUUACCAAAAACAUUAAACCAAAUUAAUUCCGAAGAACCGAUACCGAAAUAACGAAUUAAUUCGGUUCUAUCUGGUUUUUCAGAUUUUAUGCUAACCCGUAAUCCUAGUUGUGUAAAUCUCCCCAUAUGAGGAGUUCAUAUCUGCUUUUCUUGAUGCAGCUCUGAAUGUGCGCAUAAGUGUUUGAUUGAGAACAUGUUAAUUCUUUAUGGCCCAUUAGAGGUUGGGCUUAUCUAGUCGAUGGACUAGUGUUGGGCCUUAAGAGGUAAAUCAAAUGGGGAAAAAACGCAAACAGCCACCCACUAGUAUUAUCAACUCAACAUAGCCCUAAAAAUUAAACUACACAUAACCGUAUAAUAGUGUAGCCAAAUUAAUUAAUUCUUCAAUAAAAUUCUUGUAACCAACCAAAUUUCAAGAGCAGUUUUGACCUAAAGUCCUAAGAACUCCUGCCUAUGCCACAGAGCUUUUAUCUCUUCAUAGCUAGUGAUUUAAUCUUUUCUAUCAAUUACACUUUACCCAAUUCUCUCUAGCAUGCUUCUUCCUCCACUCCAAAGCCCCACACAAAAUAAAUGUUUCUAGCUUUUUCAUCAUUGCCAUUGAAGCCAAAACCCAAAAUUUUUUGGUUCCUUAAAAAUCACUGUCAUUGGUGAAAUGAGUAGAACGACUUAUACAAAAAUACCAGAAAAUGAAAAAAUCAAGAGAAACAAUGGGAUUUAGAGUGUCUCUUAUACUUCAACAUCUAUCAUAUCUGAAUCAAUUAUACAUAUGCUUAUACACAUUAUACACUUGAUAUACAGUGUAUAAUUGAUGCAUAAUCUAUGUAUAAUCAGUGUGUAUUCCUUAUACAUUGAUUAUACACUUAUUAUACCUAAAUUAUACACUUAAUAUGCACUAGAAAAAAGACCCAAAACCUCCACCUAUACACGAUACUACUUCAAGUGAAAAAUUGCAUCCACUGUAUCAAUCCAUAAACAAUAAUACAUAUUUCAGUAGUCACCACCGAUAAGAAAGGAAAAUAUUCCGCGUUCACCACCCAAAAAUCUAGUUGACAGUAGAGAUAAAGAAGAUAAAAAGCAAUUAGGUUUGAGGCUAAGAGAAAGAAGAGAAUAAAAUGGGGGAGGGGAUGAAGGACGAGAAAGACAAAAGUGAAAGAAAAACCAGCAAAUUUUUGAAGAAAGAGAGAUAUUUUUGAAGAAAGAGAGAGACGAUGCAAAAAAGUGGAUGGUGGGGCUCGCUAGGGUUUUCCUUGGGAAAGUGGGAAUGAGACAAAAAAAAGUAAGGAUUUUUAUCUUUCUAUACACUAUUUGAAACCUUAUUACCCUCCCUACUCAAGUUUCAAUUUAAUUAUAUGGUCAUAUACAAUUUAUCAAUUAUAUACAAAUAAGUUUUAAAUAAGUACCCCUUUAUAUUAGGAAUUGAAUAAGGAAUAUCAGUUAUUUUCUUAUCUCUUUAUAAUUGCCCACUCUCGCUCUCCGUCUCUCUCUCUCUNNNNNNNNNNNNNNNNNNNNAGAACACAUGACAUACAAUAUACAUACGAAAUUGUAGUAAAGUUAUAUCAUAAUUGUAUGUAAAUUAUAUUCUGUUGUAGUUAUAUAUAUUAUUUUUAUUUGAAUGUUGUAUGAAAGUUGAAAAAUAGUUGUAUAAUGUAUGAAUCGUUGUAUAAAAUUUAUAUUUAAGUUAUCAAUACUAUCUUUUUACAUAAAGUUGUUGAUAUGUAUUAAAAUUGUAUUAAGAGAGUAAGUUUUGAUUGGAAUUUUAGAGAGGAAGAAGCACACACCACAGACAAAAUAUAUACAAAUCAGAUACAAAGUAUAUACAAAAGACAUAUUGUAUAAAAAUUGUAUUUAAGUUGUAUGAUAUUGUAGUUAUAUUUAACUGGGUAGAAAUAAUGUAUGAAAGUUAAAUAUAAGUUGUAAAUAAGUUGUAUAAUAUAUAAUUAAUUGUAUGAAAUUUGUUUUUACUAUGUAUAAAUCAGAUGCAAAAUAUACAAAAGACAUAUUGUAUAAAAAUUGUAUUUAAGUUGUAUGAUAUUGUAGUUGUAUUUAACUAUGUAGAAAUAAUAUAUGAAAGUUGUAGAUAAGUUGUAAAUAAGUUGUAUAAUAUAUAAUUAGUUUAAUAAAAUUUAUUUUUACUAUGUAUGUUGUUAUAGAUAUUAAAAUUUGUAUUAAAUUUGUACGAAAUUUAUUUUUAAUUUUUAUGUUGAUGUAUUAUUCAUUGUUCUUUUCUCAAUUGAUUUAUUAAGGAAAGAAAAGUAGAGAAUGAAUUUCAUAGACUCAUGUGCAUUGAUUCAUAUUUGUUUUCCUUUUAAUAAGCAACUGUACUAAGAUUACACUAUAGUUUUCAGAAGAUCUGGGACAUGUAGUGCCACUUAUAGAUUCAUUGUUAAAAAAGAAAAACACAUAUUCUGAUUUUGCAUACAUUAUUCUACAAAUGGUAUGUCUGGAAUUAAAGGAUUGAUUGGAUUUAACUAGUUAAAAGGACAAAAACUAAAAUUGUUAAGCCAAUAUUUUAUUUCUUUAUCAGAUGUGUUCCCUGUUUUGAUUCCCAGAGAACUUAUACACAAAUGCAAAAGUACAACACUUCUAAGAAGAAUGUGCUCGCAGAAAGAUAUAUAGCAAUAUCCAAAUCAAAGUGACUGCAGCAUCAAGUUGAAUCCAGAAAAAGUAAUCCAGUUUAUGGACCAAUACAAAACAAAUAAAUGAAAUUGCAACCCGAUUGAACCAGUGCACUUUUGAAUAUCUUACCGAAAAAAUGCUCUUUGAACGCGAACACAUUGUUGAGUAUAUUGUAGCUGGUAAUUUGGUACAUCGAUGUUACAUAAUCAUAAUUCAUAUCCUGUAAUCAGUAUAUGUUUUGAUAAUAGUAGCGCUAUGAGUUUAAUUCAUGUCUUAUUUUAUUUUAAUUUUUUUGGGGGGGUGGAGGGGGGGGAGGGGGGGUGGCAUUUCAAUUGCAUCAAUAUUAAUACAAAGUUUCCAGCAUACAAAGUCGCCAAGACCAUGUUUCCAGUGAUUCUCCACUUUAAUUCAGCAAUUGCAUUUAAAGUUGUUGUCAUACUCCGUUUGUUAUGGCUCAAAAUAGGUUACACAGCUGGAAGAAGUCUUAUUAAUAGAGGAGUGGAGAAAAAAUAGGAAAAAGAUGUAACUAAAUCCCCUAAUUUAAGACACUAAUAAUGGAUUGUAUAUAAUUUGUAAGUAAUCUUUAUUUAAGGCGGGUAAUAUACAAAAUUAGGACAAUUUUGAUAAAUAAGUUUCAAAUAUUGUAUAGGAAAAAAAAAAAUCCACAAAAAAGUAAAGGAAAGGUACUAAUUGUUUAAUCGAGUAAUAAAAGUAAAAUGAGGCCAUUUAAAGUUUAUUUCCUAAAUGGGCUUAAUUGUUCAAAUCANNNNNNNNNNNNNNNNNNNNNNNNNUUUUUGUUUAUAUAUACAUUAUAUAUGUUAUAUGCAAAAAUUAUACAAAUUUUAUAUAUUUUUUCAACUAUCGAAGGUAAAUAGAUUUUUGAGUGGGGUAAAAGUGAUAAUACCCCAUAGAUAUUAGCACCCUUUAGCCCAACUUUAACUUUUUAAUACAAUUAUCUAAUAUUUUGUAGCCAAAAUUAUUUUGCCCUAAAAUAUAGCUCAUCAACGCACAUCUGUGUCUCUCUCUCCUCUAGCGUUUUAUUCUCUUUCUUUCUAAAUUUUUCUCCCCAUUCUUUCAAUCUCUCUCCAAAUCUCUAUCUUAUGUUACUCCUUCGCUAAUCACUCUAUCAGGUUUCAUCUUCAUCGUCCUUUUUGGAUAGUAAUCUACAUUGGAACUUUUUUUCUUUUACUUUAAGAGCGACUUUUUUCUAGAUGAAACUUGGUAGAAGAUGGAAAAGAAAUCUUCAUCAAAGAGGGAGUCAUCUGUAUGAAUAUAACAGUGUAUAUUUUACUGUAUAUCUGAUUAAUAUCUUGUAUAUCCAAGUGUAGAACACAAAAGUAAUUGUAUUGUUUGUAUAUACCGUGCAUAAUAUAUUAAUAAAGUGUAUAUCAAAAUAUAUACUGAAACUUUAUUUUUCUUUUUUGUGUAUAUCAAAAUGAGAUUUUUACUUAGAUUAUAAACUUAUUUACCCCAGUAGAGAAAUUAUUAGUUAAUUAUUUUUAAUAUAUCAAUUUAUAAAUUAUAUACAAAUUGGUAUUAAAUGAGUAUUCCUAAUUAUAGACAUUUAAUUUGGUAAGAUAUCCUCAACCCCUGAUAACUCCCUUUUCCCCACUUCUCUCAGCGAUCCCCUCUUCCCCACGUAUCUUAGCCCCCUUCUCCUGUAAUCACGAACUACAUCUUCUUCUCUUUUUCUUUCGAUUGAGUCUUCCAUUAAAAUUAAAAAAAAAAAAAACCCCACCUAAAACUAGCCUUAAAAUUACUCAAAAAUUAGCAGGAAACUCCAUAAAAAUUAGCUCAAAACCUCCAAUAACCAUAGCUUCUAUCUUCCAGUCGAGGUUUUCGUUCCAAGCUCCAGGUGCCGUCAAGUUCUAGGUUGUUCGUUGAAGUUUUCGGUCAUUGGAAUUUAUAUUUUAUAUGUGGUUUGUAUGAAAAAUUGGUGGAGAUUUUCCAUGUCUGAAGAUAGAGAAAAUCGUUUGGGCGAAAAGAAUUGAGGAUGUUGGGUUAUUGAUCCUUAUUCGUGUUGAAAUCAUAUGAGAGAUCAAAGAAGAGAUAUCAGAAAGAGAUGGCAACGAGAAGUGGAAAAGGAGUAAGGGGAGAUAGAAUAAAUAGGGAUUUUUUUUUUUUUGAGAUUUGGUUAUACAAUGCUAAUUCUUUUUUGGGCUGCCUUUGUCAAACAUAAUUUAAGAUAAAAUAUUUGUCAAUUCCUACUAUAUUUUGUCACCCGAUAUCAAUUUUCCAAUCAAAUUAAGGCGUUUGGACAUAUGUGUGUAGUAUUAUUUGAUAUUAAAAUUCAACUUAGUGUUUGUUUGGAUUAUUCCAACUUCAGCUUGAAUAGAGAAUUUGAAGUUAAAAACCUAUUUUUUAAAGAGUAAUUCAAAUGAUACUAAUCAGCAUGAUCUAAGGUCUCUUAAAAUAAAAUGCGCCUUCUGAUCUUUUCUCAUUUUGUCACCAGAAAUUUGCCUGCUAAGUGCUAACCUUCUAUUAAAAAAUAUAAUAGUAAUAUUAAACAACACGAAACUGCUCCCUUGAUCAACCAAAAUCUUCUUGUAAGGAUAUAAAGAGAUUUUUAGUAUAUGAAGAAAAAUGGGAGAGCUUAACUAAUAAAAAAAGGGGAAAAAGAAGAAAAGAAAAACUUACUGAGGAUGGUAUAAAGUAAUCUAUUAAAGAAUUUAAACUGCAAGGUUUAUGAACUGCGAGGUUGAUUCAUUUUCUGUUAUAAUAAGAUGAAAUCAUUUUUGUGGCGCUUCCCUAGUUAAUUAUUUUACAUAAUUUGCUUCAUUUGGACGUAAAGCCAAGGUGGAGGUAAUAACGAAUUAAGCUCUCCACCUUGCUAAGGAAAAUGAAGUAAAAAAGAUCCGAGUACUAUUUUCUAGACAUUAUAAAAUGUAAACUUAAUUCUAUUUUUCCUGGAAUGGAUAUUGUACAGGACAAAGAAGUUCUCCCGCAAAAUUAAGAUUGUACACAAGAGGAGAUCAAAGUGUUAAUUAAUUAAUAUAUUCAAUUCAUUAAAUUUCCUAACCAUGGUAAGUUGAAAAUUAAUUUGGUAUAAACUGUUGGGAUCGAAAAUAACAAGGCGUGAUGAAAGCUAAUAAAGCAAACCUUUGUGAUGAUAAAUUAGACAAGAAAAAAGUAAAUUAAAGAAGCAUACUAUAUUAAUAUGGUUUGGUCAAGUGACCUACACAUGAUUUACUAAUAUAAAAGAGAAAAAAACCUUAUGAGAGAAUAAAUUCACCCUCUAAACAAAAUUCUCAUAAUGAUUACACUGUGGAUGUUAUUGUGUUGCUGUGUGAAAGAAAAUCUCUCAAUUUAUAGAGGCCACAACCUUUUUCCUCCAAAGAAAUCUAUCAAAUAUAGAAGAGAUAUAUAUUAUCCUUUAAGAGAAAGUAAAACAAUUAUAGUUAAUGUCACACCUCCUUUUUUUUCGAGGGAGAUAUGGAGUUUUUCCAAUUAAAGUGACAUUAAUCGAAAUGAGAUUAUUUAUUUAUAUCAGAGUCGCCACUUGGAAUAAUUUAUGGUAUCCCAAGUCACCGGUUUAUUUUAAAUCCCAAAUAGAGGAAAUUAACUCUUAUAUAUGGUCUGCGAACACAGAAAACCGGGUAAGGAAUUCUGUUAAUCCGAGAGAAGGUGUUAGGCAUUCCCGGAUUCUGUGGUUUUAGCACGGUCGCUCAACUGUUAAUAAUUGGCUUAAUUACCUGAUUUAUUACAUGUUUAAAACCUAUUGUAUAUUUUUUUUUUACCCUUUUAACCGCUUUUAAUAUUUAUGGAAUAUAUUUGAACAAGUCGCGAUGUCGCACACUCGUUUUUCUACAUAUUGUGAAUCGCACCACGUGAAACGCACCCGCGAUUUACAACAUGUUUAUUAUUACAAUUAUUUGAAGUGAUGGUCGAGUCAUGUGAAAUACACACUCGACUUGGGAUUACGUAUCAUGACUAUGCCACGGGAACCGUACCCAUAGUCACGAUGAUUUAUUAUUAAUCGCGCCUAAAGCAAGUUACGAUUGUUCAUGAAUUAUUUUCCUAAAGCUAAUUUGAGAUUAUUGUAAGACCAAGAAUUUAUAGAAUUCAUCAAUGAUAUAUCUAAAUUAUUGGAAGUGUUCAUAGCUUAGUAAAAGUGUUAAAGUUCUUUAAAAAAAAGAUGCACUAGCUAAUCCAUACACAUUUUGUAGUCCAAAGUAUAUACGUUUUUUCAGUUUAAAAAUGAUCGAAGAUGAAUUUCUUUAGCAUUAUACCAUCUAAGUUUCCAAACACGGAUAAACAUCAGCUACGUACCUAUAUGAGAUUGAAAUCUAAAACGAACAAAAAGUACAAUAAAUAAACUAAGCACUUCAGUUAUCAAGAAACCAAAAAUUAGUACAUAAUUUUGCCAAUAAAGAUAAUCAGGGCGGUUCUAAUGUUUUUGGCGGUGAGGCCAUUCCCAAAUUUAUUUUAAAUUCUUUUUAUUAUUAUUACUAUAUACUAAUAAUUCAUAUAAAUAAUUAGUAUAAAAAAAGUGUUACAAUAUAUUAUUUUGUUACUUGAUUGAGGUUAUUUUAUACCAAUAAAUUUAUAAAAUAUAAUAAUUUCCCCCCUCAUUAAUUAGUAAAUUUGCUUCACUCUUUAAUUUUAAUUUUUUUUCUUUUUAUAUAGGAAUUAAAUUAUAUAUAUAUCGUUAACAUAAUAAAUUUCUUUUACAAUAUACUCCUAAAUUGCAUGAACACAAAAGUAUUCAUGCACCGAUUUUCUUUUAGUGUAAUUCGACAUAUUAUAUUAGGUUAUUUAUAAUUUAUUUUAGAUAUUCACUAAAAAGUGUUACUUAAUAUAAUGAACUACAAUUAUCGUUUAAAUUGAUCAGAAGGAGUAAAUAUUUUUGGCACCGUCAAUGCUCAAAACUUACGUUGUUACGUCAUGUACGUUUAUUUCUUUUUUUUGUUUGUGAUGAUAGCCAAAUCAAGAUUUUCACUUUGAUUUCUGGACCUCAACAUCCGAUAGUCCACCACUUUAUUUUUGUGUGCUCUUCUUCAUUUUUUUUUUGAAAUUCGUUUUUUGUCUUAAAUGAUUAAUUUGUUAUUUAAAAAGCAAAUAUUGUUAUUAGUAUAAAUAUUUUGUAGAAUAAAUCUAAGGCCUCUCCAUAUGAUUUCUCCUUAGGCCACGAAAUCGCCGCCCGAAGAUAAUAACAUAAAUGAAUUGAAAAGUUUCAUGGAUCAAGAACAAAAUAUUUUGCAGGAAAGCAAAACUUCGGUUGACAUAAGGGGGCAUCAACAAUUAAUACAGUAUAACAUUGAGAAGCUAGAUUAAUUUUAUCAAAAUGAAAUCAAAUCCAUAUCUAAGCAGGACCACAAACAGACACGCAAAUAAUAAAGAUUUAAGGUAAAAGGUUGGACCUUUAGUAAUAAAAAUCUUUCUUCUAUUAACAAACACCUCCGGUGGAAUUACAACAGCUGAAUCGACGCCAAAUCAACUCCAACAGUGAAAACCCGCCUGAAUCCGAACAGAAAACGCAGCGGCGCUAAAACCUCGCCGACAACUCGAUUUUUGAAGUGACUAAUGGCUAUUUUGAAGUUGUUUUGGAUGGUUUUGGAGCAUCUUUAAUGGAGGAAAUGGGUGGUGAGCUAUGGCUAAACUAAGGUGAAAAGGAAAAUGAUUUCGUAAGCUUCUGCUGGCAACGUUUUCUUUGAAGAAAAGGAGUUGUAACCUAGAGUUCUAAAGUCUAAUUGUCUAAAUCUGAUUUUCGGGACUGUUGUUUUUGAGUUGAUUCAGCUCCCUUUCAUGGUUUUUGUUGCAGCUACUUGAGAAUGAAGAGGGAGUUUCAACGAUGGAUUAUUCAAGCUAAGAAUUCUUUUAUUUAACUCCAUUGCUCUCUCUAUUUUCUUAGGGUGUGGCUGCCGUUUCUUAGGGGUCUAUGAAUUUU
rnacentral:lncRNA from 1 species